UGUAGUAAAGUGCACCUGUUUUCUUACCACUCUCGAUCAGCUCAGCUGGUCUGGUGUGUUGUGUGUUGUGUUGGUGUGUGCGCGUGGUGGCGGCGUGGCUAUGCGCCUUACCCUUGGCUGCUUCGCAGCUAUACCGUUAUAAUCUACGGAGUUUGGACCUGUUGAUUGUUGUUCGUGUUGUUCCUUGUCUCGAGAGAGGUGAAGGAAGCAGUGCGCAGUUAAUGAUGCUGUGUGAGAUCGCUAUACGGUGGAAUCUUGAGGCUCGUUGUCGCGAGCCUUGAGAGUGUGUGACCUCCUCUCGUAUAAGGGCCGAGAACAAAAACAAAUGCCGUUCGAUGUGUAAUGGAUUGCUGCUGAUCACAGUGUGCGGGGGAUAGUUUUUGGUUUGAAAACAAAAGAAGUUCGCCGUCUGCUUGAAUCAAGUCACUCGCUGUAAUAUGCAUAAAUAGUUUGGAAAAUAGAAACGAAGAGGACUCGGUUCAGUUUUCGGAAUGUUUUAGUGUCUUAAUGUGAAAGGUGAAUGUUGUAACGGGAGAAAUCGGUCGCAUAUGUGCUUCGAACAGCUGAACGAAGAAGCACAACAACAAAGCAAACGAAAAUUGCUAAGAGAUUUUUUUUCCCAACCGGAACGUGAAUGGGAAUCUGAGAAAAAUAGAAAUCAAUCAAUAAUAGAGUUGGCUACAAGAAGCCUGAGUCAAGAUCAGGACCGUGAAUCUAGUACAUCUAGUUCGAAAUCGUAAGCAGAAGUGUGAUUGACAGGAGGACGCCGAGAGCGGAACAGAUUCUGCGAGGUGUAACAGUGUUUUUUUUCGUUCGCUUUGGAACGUUGCAUCCGAGGAAACCGAUGCUGUAAAACGGAGCACUGCAUUGCUUCCUGAGUAACUUGUUUGAACGACUAAAGAAGUAGAAGAUCUUCUAUUUCUUCGUCCCUCAUCCAUCAUCAUACCCUGAACGGUUUGACUGAACAGCGCCUCCUUCGAUGGUGAUAAAUCGGUACACAUCCGAUUCAGCCCAAUUCGCUGGUAUGUACAGAGCCAUCGAAGAAAUAACUACAGCCUGUUGGCAUAGUCGAGCACUUUCUCCUAGUUAAGAGAAAUCAUUAUGGCAGAA